rnacentral:rRNA from 1 species
UACGUAGGGUGCAAGCGUUGUCCGGAAUUAUUGGGCGUAAAGAGCUCGUAGGCGGUUUGUCGCGUCUGCUGUGAAAACUCGGGGCUUAACUCCGGGCCUGCAGUGGGUACGGGCAGACUAGAGUGCGGUAGGGGAGACUGGAAUUCCUGGUGUAGCGGUGAAAUGCGCAGAUAUUCGGAGGAACACCAGUUGCGUAGGCGGCUGGCUGGACGGGCUCUGACGCUGAGGUACGAAAGCGUGGGGAUCAAACAGG